rnacentral:rRNA from 1 species
AGCCACCUUCGGGUGGUGGACAGUGGCAGACGGGUGAGUAACGCGUGGGAACGUGCCUUUCGGUUCGGAAUAACCCAGGGAAACUUGGGCUAAUACCGGAUACGCCCUUCGGGGGAAAGAUUCAUUGCCGAAAGAUCGGCCCGCGUCGGAUUAGCUAGUUGGUGGGGUAAUGGCUCACCAAGGCGACGAUCCGUAGCUGGUCUGAGAGGAUGACCAGCCACACUGGGACUGAGACACGGCCCAGACUCCUACGGGAGGCAGCAGUGGGGAAUAUUGCGCAAUGGACGAAAGUCUGACGCAGCGACGCCGCGUGUGGGAUGACGGUCUUCGGA